GAUGAACGCUGGCGGCAGGCCUAACACAUGCAAGUCGAACGAGUGGCGGACGGGUGAGUAAUGUCUGGGAAACUGCCCGAUGGAGGGGGAUAACUACUGGAAACGGUAGCUAAUACCGCAUACCAUCGGAUGUGCCCAGAUGGGAUUAGCUAGUAGGUGGGGGAAUGGCUCACCUGGGCGACGAUCCCUAGCUGGUCUGAGAGGAUGACCAGCCACACUGGACCUGAGACACGGUCCAGACUCCUACGGGAGGAAGCAUUGGGGAAUAUUGCAAAAUGGGCGAAAGCCUGAUGAAGCCAGGCCGCGGGUAUGAAGAAGGCUUUCGGGUUGUAAAGUACUUUAAGCGAGGAGGCGUUACUCGCAGAAGAAGCCCCGGCUAACUCCGUGCCAGCAGCCGCGGUAAUAC
rnacentral:rRNA from 1 species